rnacentral:rRNA from 1 species
UGGGGGAUAUUGCACAAUGGGCGAAAGCCUGAUGCAGCGACGCCGCGUGGGGGAUGAAGGCUUUCGGGUUGUGUACCUCUUUCGCUAUCGAACAAGGCCCGCUUAGGGUGUGAUGAGGGUAGGUGGAGAAGAAGCGCCGGCUAACUACGCGCCAGCAGCCGCGGUAAUACGUAGAGCGCGAGCGUUGUCCGGAAUUAUUGGGCGUAAAGGGCUUGUAGGCGGCUUGUUGCGCCUGCUGUGAAAACGCGGGGCUUAACUUCGCGCGUGCAGUGGGUACGGGCAGGCUUGAGUGUGGUAGGGGUGACUGGAAUUCCAGGUGUAGCGGUGGAAUGCGCAGAUAUCUGGAGGAACACCGAUGGCGAAGGCAGGUCACUGGACCAUUACUGACGCUGAGGAGCGAAAGCAUGGGUAGCGAACAGG